CAACCCUGAUCAGCCAUGCCGCGUGUGUGAAGAAGGCCUUUUGGUUGUAAAGCACUUUAAGCAGUGAAGAAGACUCUAUGGUUAAUACCCAUAGACGAUGACAUUAGCUGCAGAAUAAGCACCGGCUAACUCUGUGCCAGCAGCCGCGGUAAUACAGAGGGUGCAAGCGUUAAUCGGAAUUACUGGGCGUAAAGCGAGCGUAGGUGGCUUAAUAAGUCAGAUGUGAAAUCCCCGGGCUUAACCUGGGAACUGCAUCUGAUACUGUUAGGCUAGAGUAGGUGAGAGGGAGGUAGAAUUUCAGGUGUAGCGGUGAAAUGCGUAGAGAUCUGAAGGAAUACCGAUGGCGAAGGCAGCCUCCUGGCAUCAUACUGACACUGAGGUUCGAAAGCGUGGGUAGCAAACAGGAUUAGAUA
rnacentral:rRNA from 1 species